AAAAAAAAAAAUAUUAUUAUGGCAAAUUCAUCUCUGAAAACAGUAGGUUUUUUCCUUCUAUAUAAUGUCCUACUAUGUGGUACUGAAUGAAGGUAAAUCACCAUUGGCAAUGCCACUUACCUGCUGCUCUGUGCUUUACCUUCAAGUGCAGAACAAAAGAGCGAAGUAAUUUUGGAAAUAAACUAAGACUGCCUCUGUCAGGAAAAGAUUUUCCUCCCCCUUUUUCCCCCAAUAAUAAUUAACGAUGUAUGUGGCUUCCGGUUAACUAUACCCAAAACAUGUAAAUCAACAUGUUUUCCUCAACUUUUAGCCCAAUGCCAUAUCAGUUUCUCAAAGCUGCAGUUCCUUUAAUGCUAAUGAGUGUCAUAUUGUGACUGGGACAAGUUAAUGCAGUUGAUGUUGAGGAAAAGACAUUUAGGAGAAAUUUUCAUUUAAUUCUUGAUUGGUAAUUUGGGGCUCUAUUUAGGAGUUUCUAUUAGCUCUCUCCACGAAGUUAAAGUUUUACUCCAAUUUUGAAGUUGAAGAUGUUCAAAAUUCAGUAGGAAAACAUGGAAUGUAUUUACUUUUCCUGUGUGGUAUUUAUAAGGAACUUUCUAGCCUAGGACAUGCCUCAUGAAUGCAAUCCUUCUCUCUCUUUCUUCUAAUUUAAUGCAACCUUACUCUUCUUAACCCGCCUUUACAUUUUCCUCUUGCUUAUAUUUAUCAAUCUUCAAACCAUUACUAAUAACAGUAUGCAUGGGUAGAUCAGUCAAAUAUAUCCUACAUGAGUUUUGGCAAUUUCUAAUAAAGCAUUAUGAUAGAGAGUACUUCUAUACAGUUUAGUUAAUCAUAUCACUGGCCUUGUGAAUCAUAAAUUAAUUUCCAAACAAGCACCAAGCUCUAUAUAAGGGAUGCAACCAACAAAGAAGUUUACACAAUGCUGAUAGAUGAUUCCAAAAAUCAACAUGAUUCUUGAAGAACAAGACCCCAAACUCAAGAGCAUACACAUUAAUUUGACAGAAUUUCGAACCUAUAAGUUCAUAUAGAUUGAAACAAGG
rnacentral:misc_RNA from 1 species